CCCCGGGGACGCGCCCGAGCCUCCCGCACCCGCACGACGGAGGAGAGCCGCUGUCGCCGGGAGGGCCCGGCCUCCCCAGCCGCGUGUGCGACACCGACCGCUGGCCCUGCGGUCACCACCGUCACGGGGACACGUGGAGACAGGCUGGCGGGCAGGACUGUUCGUGUGGGCACAGUGAAGACAACAGGAGUCCAGAGGAAGCAGGAAAACUCCGCCUCCCCUAGUCGGCUGAUGUAGCCAAAUGGAACGCCGGCAUGGAAAGCGCACCCCCUUCCUGCUUGGAGCCCUUCCAGACUCUGCUCGGGAGACGUUGAAAGUGACAAGUUCCCCGGGUGCCGGGGUGGCCCCCAUCCAUAGAGCAUCUGAGUCUUGAUCUUGAGGACGCAAGUUGGAGCCCUGUGGUGUGUGCAGAGAUUACUUAAAUGCACACACACACACACGCACACACACACAAAACUGGCGAGUCCGUGGCCAGUCAAUCCAGUGUCUUCUAGCAUCCCCUCUGUGGCCUGUGGACAUUUUUGGUGAGUAGCAUUCCAGAUGAAAUGGGUUAGCUGGUUAGAAGCAGCCCCUGCUGCCACUUCCAUGUGCUCCUCCACACCUACCCUAUCCGUAUUUUUUAAAGAUUUAUUUGCAAUAAAUAAAUAAAUAAAUAAAUAAAUAAAGA